AACGAACGCUGGCGGCAGGCUUAACACAUGCAAGUCGAGCGCCCCGCAAGGGGAGCGGCAGACGGGUGAGUAACGCGUGGGAAUCUACCCAUCUCUACGGAAUAACGCAUGGAAACGUGUGCUAAUACCGUAUACGUCCUUCGGGAGAAAGAUUUAUCGGAGAUGGAUGAGCCCGCGUUGGAUUGGCUAGUUGGUGGGGUAAAGGCCUACCAAGGCGACGAUCCAUAGCUGGUCUGAGAGGAUGAUCAGCCACACUGGGACUGAGACACGGCCCAGACUCCUACGGGAGGCAGCAGUGGGGAAUAUUGGACAAUGGGCGCAAGCCUGAUCCAGCCAUGCCGCGUGAGUGAUGAAGGCCCUAGGGUUGUAAAGCUCUUUCACCGGUGAAGAUAAUGACGGUAACCGGAGAAGAAGCCCCGGCUAACUUCGUGCCAGCAGCAGCCGCGGUAA
rnacentral:rRNA from 1 species